rnacentral:lncRNA from 1 species
AUAUGCCUUGGUGACAGAUCCCCAUGCUUGGCAACAUUAAGGAAAUUUUGUGCAGUGAAAUCCUCAUCCAUGUCUGUAACUAUAGGAUUUACAAGGGCAGGUAGGUCAUGAGGUUGUAUUGGUUCUAUUGUUGUGGCAACUUCAUAUGGCUGAUUGGUCAGGACAUCAUUUUUUUCUGUUUAGAAAAAUCAGCAGCAAUUUCUUCAUGAUCAUUG